rnacentral:ncRNA from 1 species
GCAAACACAGUGAAGAAGAGAGUACAUUUUCCGUACAUUUUACAGAGAAGUUCCGGCAGGCUGAGAGGAACAGAUGAAGGAAGAUGGAAGAUGGCUUCGGAGUGGGAUGGCUGAGCCGCGAGGUUAGGUCAUGAAGGGACCGCCCUUUACAGCGGGAGGUGUUACAUGCACCCGGUAAGGCUGCUGUCGUGAGGCAGAAGCGAACAGAAGUGGUAACGCGGGAUAUCCCGUCUUCUCU